CAGCUGUUAGGUGGUGGGGUGUGGGAAGCGCUGGGAGGGAGGGUGAGGAGUGGGGACGUAGCACGCUGUGGGGGCAGAGAAAGAGGCAGAAGGGCAGAGCUUGGCUGCCAGUGGGUGCAGUUCUCGGUGGGUGCUCCAGCCCCAGACCACUCACCGAGUCAGUGCCUAUGUUGGCAAUUUCUUGGUUACUGUUCCUGUCUCUGACUUGAUGGAUGCCCCAUGGAUCUUGAACUGCCCUCAAGGGGGUCCUCUAGUUCUUCUACUCUGGCUAAUCCUACUAGCCCAGAACCCGCACCUUGACUGCCCAUGGUCUCCAGUUUUUCUAGCUUGCAGAGAAUUUCCUGAAAGUACUUUCAAUCCCAACUAAUAAUAACAGAACAGAGCAAUGGUGAGGACAGCACUACAGGGAGAGCCAAGAUAUACCAUCCCACAAAAGCAUAGUUGUCUGCAGGGUUAAGCCUUCACAUCCUUGUAAAAGUACAAGCAGGAAGAUCAUCUUCCUUGGGAUCCCUUCAGCCCCCGUGAAGGGACCGUUAUUUUGGUGGGUCCUUUGGGCAUGCUAUGCUGUCCCCUUUUCACACAUUGAGGGGGGGUAUUCUUUUCAUAUGUAUCAUGGUUGCCCACUUGAAAAAACAGAUCACCAUGUUGUGGUGGGAGCCCAUUCUCUCAUCUGAAAAUGAUCCUCUUGCUGUAGGGGUCUGGUAUCAAAGUCUAUACCACGCCCUCUAAGUAGCAGGGUGGAUACCAACUGCCCUGGUUAUGUUUCUUCCAGGCCCUUCCCAGCUCAUCACUGACUUGCCUAGAGUUAAGCGGUUGUCUUAGCUAGGAGCUUCAGGAGACACAUUAAAGAGCCACUUGCAGCUCAUGAGCCUCAAUCUGAAAAUUACUUUAGACUCUGCCAUAGCUUAACUUACCCCCUCCCAGAAUUCCACCUGAAGAUGAGUGCUUUCUGGUUUACCUCUUCAAGGGGGUGAAUGGGAGGUAUAACACUUAAUUCACACAGAUUGACUUUGCACAAAAUUCUAAGUUACCAUUGCUCCUUACUUAACAGAUAAAGCACAGAGAGUACAGAUCAUAUAAUAUACAAGAAGCAUCCCAAAUGUGAUGCCCCUCACCCUUGGGAGUCCGUGGGGAACCAUCUGAGUUCAGGUAGGAAGGGUUCCCCCACCUCAUCGGGCUCCUGCAGCAGCUUUUCUAUGCUUGAGCUGGUGAAAGUGGCUGAAAACCACCCAAAUAGAUCAGCUCCUGUCCUUUUACAACCUUCCAACCUCUCUGUCAGAUGACUCCCAGAUCAGCCUCCUCAGGUGCUCACAGACUCCUACCAGUUGAUUUUGUUGUCAAGUGACCUCUCCCUUGACAAACCAGUUCUUCUGGGUGGGGAGCCCAUCUAUUGUCUAGGAUGUUGGUUAUUAAAUCAGAAUGGACCUCUAUUUAAACACUCUGUUGUGAGCCUGUAUCACCCACCUUUGGAAUUGCAGUCCAACAUGGAGAUAAAACCACAGAGAAGAUUAAAAAACUGCACCUUUUCAGUUUGGUAAAGAUACAUACAGAGUUCAUACUCUCACACAGAAUGCAUAAACUGUGCAGACCAAUUCCCCAGACAUUCACUGACCAAUACCAGCAACAGUGCCCUUGUUAAGAUUUUAUCUUUAUCCCCCUUCCCCUAAAAAGGCAGGCACAACAUUUUAUUAUUUAUUAAAUGAAAUUAUAAUUCUGACCAUGGUGUUUCUUUAAGAUGACAGUGUUAGGAGCAGUUUUGGAACAGAACAGUGAGUAAAGGAGUAUUAAAACCAUUCAAAAAUGAUAAAAUUUCAAACUGUGGUCUUCUCUUGAUGCAGAAUGUAAAGCGGGAUGAAUUCUCCCCCUCCCCCCCCUUGAAAAAAAUAAUAUUCUCUUUCAUUGUUGGCAAUUCCAGCUCAGAUAGGCCCACACUCCCAUCCAUUGCUAUCAGGGACUGGACUGUCCAUCAGUGGAGGAAAAGGAAGUGGGCUAGUAACAAGAUGUGUGAGGACAUGGCUCACAAGAGUGAUGUUCACCUGGAGAACCAGAGGGUGAAGGAGGAGUGGAACAUGCUGUGGGAGAAGAAACUGAUGGACAAAUCCUUAUAGGAAGUCAGUAGGAAUAGGGAGCAGGACCAGUAGGGGAUGGAACAGCUGAUCAACUGGUUGCCAACAGGGUCUAGCUACGAGCUCCAAUAGCAGUUCCAGAGUUGCCUUCACCACCAGCUCCAGUACUGGUCCCUAUGUCAUUGCUGAUGUUUGCCAUACUACAUCAUCCUACAACCAGUGCAGGCACUGCACAACUCUGGUUUUGCCUUGUCAAUGGACAUUUUGAACUGGAGUGCAUAGGUGUACAACCCUGUACAACCCACACAAGCUGUGCAGCCAUGUGCCACAUCCUGCCAGGGGGAAGGAAAACAGGAGGUGCUUUUAAAAGAGACAUUCCCACUACUAGUGAGACUGUCCUCUGAGAAUGUGUAUUCACAGUUCAUAUAAAUUCACCAUCUAGCAUGUUUUUAGUGUUUUGAAUACAUACAUUUGCACUUCACUUCAGCCUUCAUACAUGUUAAUUCCAAUUUGUAAACUGAAAGCUAGGGUGCCUGCAAUGACUUUGUUAAAUGUGCAAUCCAUCACUGUCCUUUAACUACCAAGUGUGUUAUUGAAGCUUCUCUUGUCAGACCAUCUGAGCUCAAGGCACAGUUUCAUGAACCAUGGUAGGAGAAGGUAGACAGGGUCCCUGUGACAGUGUUGGGACUCACCACCUGACGCCUCCUGCUAGUUGUCUCUGGGAAUUAGCUCUGUCCAGUGGAGCGCCCCCUCCUGGUGGUGUCCCAUCCAUCAUCUCACCCUCAGUUGGCAUCUGAGCCCGCAUCACUCACGAGCUCGCGGCAUCCUUUUCGAGCCACUGCCCUCCAGCAGUGCCCCUUAGUCCAUCCACACCCCCUUCCGGGGGGAGGAGGGUUUGAUCACCAGUCUCUCUGCACCCCACCCACCAGGGAUCUGGCAUAGUCCAUAAGGGCCGCUCCCUAUGGCUGGGUGUACUGCGAGGGGGGGGGACCCCAGGCCCACCCUCUACUCUGGGUCCCAGCCCAGGGACCCUCUGGCAGCAGCCUCGCUGUCCUCCUUCUCUCCCCUCUGUCUGUCCACAUCCCUGGGCCACUUGCCCUUUGGCCCCUCGCACCAGCUAGGCCCUUCCCCUCAGGGCCUGCAGCCUGGCAGAUAUCGGGCUGGAGUUCCCUUCUGCUCCCCCAGGCCAGGCCUGCACUGCGUGCUAGUCUCCCACCUCUGGAGACAGACCUUCCCCUGGCAAAGGCCUGGUACAGACUACCUGCUGCUAUUCUGGACAGCCUUUAUAUAGGGCCAAGCUGAGCCCUGAUUGGCUGUCUCCAAUCUCAGCCCUGAUUGGCCCUCAGUAAGCCCUUUCCUGAUUGGCUGCCGGCCUGCACAGCCUCUUUGGCCUACUCUAGCCCCAUCUCACAUGGGGGUGGGGCACUCGCCCCACCACAGUCCCCUAAAAGAAUGGUGGGCACAGGGUACCCCAUUCAUAACAAUGUCAUUAGGAGGGAAUAAGGGUCCUGCUUCUUCCAGCAGGCAAAGGCCAAAUCUCUUUAGCACCCUGGUGUCAUGAAUUUUUCCCAUACUUCUCACUUUGGUGUUUAUGACCCUGCCUCUAUGGCUGACAAAAAUCUGCAGAACCAGGGAGUAGUGCCCUUUGUGGUUGACAUAUUUGCUUGCUCCUUGUGGCAGGCAAACUAUGGGCACAUGUGUGCUAUUAAUGGCCCCAGUGCAGUUUGGGAACCCCAUUGUCUGAAAGCCAGCUAUUAUUUCAGGUAUAUGUCUUAUGCCCACCACCCACAGGUAAACCACAGUGAGAAUUGCCUCAAAAGCCUCCUCUACCAGCAUCCCAACAGUUGAUUUGCUAAUACCAAACUGGUUUACCAUGGACCUGUAGCAGUGUGAGUAGCCAGCUUCCAGAGGGCAAUUGCAACCCACUUCUGUGGUGGUAUGGCCUCCCUCAUUCAUGUGUUCUGGCACUGGAGAGUUGGGGCAAACUUCUCACACAGCUCCAUGAAAUCUAUUUCUACAUGCUGAAGUUCUGGAAUCACAUUGGUAAGGUGGUAUGGUUUGAGGUGUUAUUAAUGAACUGACAAUGCCCAUAUCCAUAUUACUGUCUCGUCCAGAUGCAGUGAUGUCUUCUUAGUGCUGUAUCUGUUUUUACGUAACUUGCAGACUGGGUGCAAGAUAGUUGAAUAUUGCCUACUCUCAGUCACACCUCUGUAAUCCCAUUAAACCCAUGGGUUUGUAAAGAUAUCAAUGAGAGCUGCAUGUGACCCAUUACUGUUAAAUAUUUUCUAGUAAGUGGUCCGUGGGUUUUUGGGCAGUAAACAAUUUUUUAGUAUUAUUUAUUAUUAAACUUCCAAACCUCAGCACAGGUUACAACACAAAGUAUAUGGACAGCACUCAAUUAAUAACAAUAGUAAUUAAUAGAGAUUCAGUUUAAAGGGUAAGUGGAGUUUUGAGCCAGUUCUGGAGCCAUUGCUGGUCAUAACAGUCAUGAGAGCAAGAUGCUGAUUGUUGCCUAUUCUUGUUCAUCUUAUGUGUAAAUUGCACUAUUGUGAUAAAUGCCAAUAAACAUCUUUUGUGUUAUUCACAAGUGGUAAACAGUCACAUAAAAACUCUCAUGAAUUAUGUGGCAUCAGUGGUGGAGGAACAGAAAAGUGGGUCCUAGGCUGUCCCACAGCAGCACCAUCAGCAGUAGCACCCUUUCCCUCCCCCGACUGGCAUCAAAACCCUAAUCCUGGCCUGGUGCAGAGGGGAGGGCUGGGUGGAGGGAGAGGGGAUUGAAGAGUAGGCCUGACCUGCACUCACUCACAACAGCAGCCCGAGUGGCUCCUGUGUCCCCUGCUCUGGGCAUUGCACUCUAGCGCAGAGGGUUGCAGUACCACUCAGGAUUGGCCCACCUGACCUUCUGCCUUGAUGAGGGAUAGCUCAGUGGUUUGAGCAUUGGCCUGCUAAACCCAGGGUUGUGAGUUCAAUCCUUGCUGGUGCCAUUUAGGGAUGUGGGUCAAAAAUCUGUCUGAGGAUUGCUCCUGUUUUGAGCAGGGGAUUGGACUAGAUGACCUCCUGAGGUCCCUUCCAACCCUGAUAUUCUAUGAUUUCUGGGACCUUGUGCUCCAUAUAAACACCACUCCCUGAAGUUUGGCCUUUCCCCCACACACACCAUAAUGGAGGGUCAAGUGGGCCAAACCUGGGCAGUGCUGCAACCCUAUGUGCCAGAUUGCAAUGCCCAGAGCAGAAUGCUGGGCCCCACCCCAUGGCACUCAAGAUCCAUUGCUGUGAGGUGAGUCACAGUUGGGGUGCAGGAGUGAGGGGUGUACAUAACAAUGUAAUGGACAAACAAACACUAUCCAUGACUUUUUCAUACUGUGACAAACCUUGAUAAUGAUAAAAAUAUUUGAGCCUCCUGGGGCCCUCUAAAACAUAUGGGCCCCUGUACACCUGCACAAGCUUCACCAGCUAUUCCUCUGCUAGUGUUUGGCAUUGAAGAAGCUUGUUUUCAGACAGGAUCAACAAAAUCUAUACUUAUUUAAUUCAAAUUUACUGUGUACAAUAGAUUACUGAUGAGGAGGAACCCCCACCCCCAUCCUGGUGGGCAGACUCAGGACACCAGUGCCUGCCCUACUAGAUGCAGAGGGGCAGAACAGAAAGUAUAAAAGGUGGGCCCUGCAGCACAGUUGGGCUGGAACCACCAGAGAGACAGAUACCUCCCAUCCACUGCAGGGGCUGGAGCCCAAGAGGAUCCCUGCAGUGCUGAAGACUUGCCAGAGCUGCCAGAGCCACCAGCCAACACGGGUGCCGAGGAACUGCUAGGAGUGUCGCUGGCUAUCUACCCCAGGGAGACAGAGGACACCCAUGGAACGAAGGGCCACCAAACUCACGCUUUGGCAUGCCAUUAGAGGUGGUGAACAUCCAGGAGCGGCACCAGGGCUUUUGCCGCCCUAGGCGGCAGCUCUCCUCCACAGUAAUCAGCGGCAGCUCCUCCUCUGAAGCUGCGUUCUCAGCGGCGGAGGUCCUUCCGCUCCGGGUCUUCAGGGCACUUCGGCAGCGCAUCCCGGAGCAAGUGAAGGACCCGCCAUCGAAUAUCCGCCGACGACCUGGAGCAGAAGAAGCCCCUCACCACCGAAAUUCCGCAGAGGGCGGCGAAAUGCCGCCCCCCAUAUCCUGCCGCCCUACGUGACUGCCUAGGGUUGCCUAGUGGAAGCACCAGCCCUGUGAACACCACAGAAGGAGAGAGAAAAAGGAUGCUCCUGCCUAGAGACUCAGCCAUACAUGCUAGAAGGAUGACAAGUUUUUACAACGAAGACAGUCUGUUUUUAUAAACUGGACAAUGAAGCCACAAAGUUGUACAUGUCAAUAUCUAAAGAUAUCAGAUAGUGUUUCAUGAAGGUUCUCCAAAACAACAAGCUGCAGAAACAGUUAACUGCAACAAAAAUUGAGUUUUGUGUGAACAUAUCCCAAAGUUAGAAAUAUCAAAAACAGCAUAUAACUGACUUUCAGAGACCUGCACCUGUUACCAAAAUGCUAUUUAUACACACUUUCUGUCAUUAGCUCAAAAUACUUUUCAAGACCAAGAUAGUGAUAUAUUCCUGUCUUGGACAAUGCAGAGCAUUGUCAGUCCUGGGCUACAACAGGCCAUUUGAAUGUUUGUCCUCUGACUAGAGGAUGGUCUUACUAAUGCUGUAUACCGAAGUAAUACCACCUCUUUAUUCCUACUCAACAUGCCUGUGCUUAUAUAUCAAGGAUCACAUUAGCUCUUUUAGACCCAGUAUCACACUGGACUUUUAAGGUUCAGCUGGCUAUCCACAAUCAUGCCCAAGUCCUCCUCACAGUCAUUGUUUUCCAGGAUAUAUUCCCACUGUAAGUUCUGUAUUUGUUGUUCCAAGACGUAUGAUCUUGUAUUUGGCUAAAUUAAAAGAUGCAUUGUUUAUUGCAUGCAAUUUACUAAGAAAUCCAGAUCACUCCGUCUACGUGUCCUAUACUCAUCAUUAUUUAAGGCUCCACCAAUCUUUGUGUUAUCUUCAAACUUUAUAAGCAACGUUUUGAUAUUUUCUUCCAGAUCAAUGAUAUAAACAUUCAGUAGCACUGAACCAGGACCCCACUAGAAAAACACCCAUUUCAUUAUUAAGCUCCAUUUACAAUUAUUUUUUGAGAUCUAUAACACAAUUUUCAAUCUUUUUAAUAUGUAGUAUAUUGAUUCUCUUUUAGGCUAAUUUUUAACCAGAAUUUUGCACUUAACUUUAUUGCUAGCUUCAUUGUUAGGAAAGCCUAACUCAUCUCCAAAAUAUCCUUAAUCCAUAUCCUUACCAUAACAUCCUCUAUCUUAGAAUGAGAUGGCAAAAGCCCUUUCAUCUCUUUCAUAUGUUUAUUGUCCCAAACAACAGGAGACUUCAUGGGUGAUGUAAUUACUAGACUAUUUACAGCUUUCUUGGAAUUCUACUAUUAUUUUAGAUAUGAUUUCAUGUUUGGCAUUUAUAGGCCUCCCUUUUUAAUACCAUAUUUUUAAGGUUUUACAAGGAAUCAUAGGGUAUGUCUACACUUAUAGCUGGGAUGUGAUUCCUAGCUUGAGAAGACAUACCCACACUAGCUCUGUUUGAGGUAGAAUGACCAAGGGGCUAGCCACCCCAAGACCAUAGAAACAGACUUGGCAUGGAUAGUUCAUUCUGCUGCUCAUGCUGCUGCAGCUAUACUCUAAUUUUAAUGUGCUUGCUUAAUGACUCUAGUGGGAGUAUGUCUCUUCAAGAUAGAAAUUAUACUGCCAUCUCAAAGUUCAGAUGUAACUUAAAACUAUUGUUUCUUUCCCUUUCUAGGGAAUUGGGGUACAAAUCCCAUAAUCAACUUUACAAAAAUCAGCCUUAGUUAACCCUUGUAAAGACAAAAUAGGCUAGUGAAAAACAUUUCUACAUGGUUAUUUUGUAAAUUAUUGUCAGGAAGAUCACCAGUAUACAUGUACCCGAGACAGGAGUUCCUUUUUCCCCCCCCCCUCAUGUGGUUAAUCAAUUAGAAUAGAACAUCUCCCAUCCGUCUCACUCUAAGGAUGAGCAAAUACUAUUGAUAGUCUGGGUCAACAAACAAACAAUAACAAAAUGACAAAAACAGCCAUUUUCUGAAGCUGGUUGUUUCCCACUCCCUCAUAUAAGAAAAUGAUUACCUUGACUAUUUCCUGAAUUUUAUCUAAUUUUUGCUUUGGUUUUCCAGUUAUCUUGUUUACAGUGAUAUUUGUUUUGCUCAGUGGUGAUACAGUUUAGGAGUUCAGGUAAGAAGUAUAGAGUCCAGUUCAUGAAAAUGUCAUGUGGGCUCAGAGCAAGGUCAGUAGCUAGUUUCUGAAGAAGGCUAUCAGUUUCAUAAACUGAUAGUUUAUUUUGUUCUUAAAAGGGAAUUGCAAAUUCAUCCCC